rnacentral:misc_RNA from 1 species
AGAACUACCAAGGCAUCCUUCCAUUGCUUAGUCUUGGCUUAAUCCCUUUUCUCUAAUGAUUGAGGGAUAAUAACAAGCGUGAUGAAGUGGGAAAGGGAUAGAUAAUGAAAAACUACAGACUGACAUAAAAGGAGUUGGCUCCUUGUCUUGGAAGAAGGUGGGGGAUGGGUUACCUGGGUUCUCAUAUUCUGUGUUCAAUUCUAACUCCAUGUAACUAUCUUUUUUCUCUCUUUUCUUUAUUU